rnacentral:rRNA from 1 species
UACGAAGGGUGCAAGCGUUAAUCGGAAUUACUGGGCGUAAAGCGCGCGUAGGUGGUUCAGUAAGUUGGAAGUGAAAUCCCCGGGGCUCAACCUGGGAACUGCUUUCAAAACUGCUGAGCUAGAGUACGGUAGAGGGUGGUGGAAUUUCCUGUGUAGCGGUGAAAUGCGUAGAUAUAGGAAGGAACAUCAGUUGCGAAGGCGGCUCACUGGAUCAAUACUGACGCUGAGGUGCGAAAGCGUGGGUAGCGAACAGGAUUAGAAACCCCCGGUAGU